CCUUCUGCUCUCCAGGUGAGCACCCCCAGCUCUCCCAGCCUGGCUCCCUGAGCAUCCUCAUGGCCUCCUCUGGACCCUGCUCCGAAGCUGUUGGUACCAACCACGAAACAGAGGAAAUAUUGCACUAGAUUACCCUAGGCUCCCAUCAGGUCUGGCAAUCUUUUUUUCUUAAGUAGGGAGGAAGAAAAAAAAGAGCACAUACUGAGUGCUACACCAAGCUGAAGUGUUUUCUUCCUGAAGAGCCCUUCCUCCCGGGAGCAGAGCAGGAGUCAAGCAGCGCCAUGCCUCCUCCAGCAGGCACUCAGCCCUCCACCUCCGUGCUCAAGGGUUCCUGGAAGCCAGGGCUGCCCGGGGAGAGCGUGGGGAGGGCACUGCGAUCCUCCCACCCAGGAUCAGGGCAGUGCCAGGGGGCUGUGAUCUGUCUGAGGCCCGCCCUCCGCUCGGAGCAAGAAAUGCCAAGGAGGGUUAGGGAGAUGACUGGAGGCUUGGAGUGCAAUGGGAAGCAACCGCUGUUCCUAGGCAGGCUGUGACUACCCAACCUUGCUAAUCAGAUUUUGGGGGAUGCUCAGCUGGCUCUUGCUGUAGGGAGCUCGGGGUGUGUUUUGGUGACAGGGUCUGUGUUCCAGUGGGGAGGGAGAACACUCCUGGUUCAAUGCCCAGAGACCUGGUUUUGUUGGUGGAAGGGGGGAAAAGGCCAUUUGGAAAACUGUGCAUCCCCAUCUCGGCUCUCUGCAGGUCAUUUGAAGCACUCAAGGCAAGGCUGGGUGCCCCUUGAGGGUGCCCAAAACCAGCCUCACCCCGGCAGCUCUGCUGGCUGGGGGUGACCCUGCUGCCAGGGCUCUGGGCACUUGGCCGCUCUGAGCCUCAGCGUGUCAGUGCCGGCAGGAAAACCAGCCACAUCCAGCACCAUCAUUCCAUCUUCAUCCAGCUGGCUUCAGCCCUGCCCCCGUUCCCAAAGCACCCUUUUGAUUCCAGGAGCUGCAGUUCAGGGAUCAGUCCUUGAGCCCAGGGAAGUGGGGAUCCUUCCCUUGCUUUAAUUAGCAAAGGCUCCUGUGGUUUCUUUGUGCACGGUUUGCUCCGGGGCGAUUCCAGCCAGGAAUAAAAGUUUACUUCCAUUCCCCAGCGCUCGGGGAAAGCAGCUUCCGUCAGCACUGCCUGUGCUCUCGGCUGUGCUGGAUAUGGCAGGUCUAUUUUUAGAAGCCAGGGUUGCCAUGGCAACCCAGUGUAUUUUUUCUGUUAAAUAUAGCAGCUGUUGCAGGGAACUCUUGUCCUUCUGGACGUAAAGGCUGUGUUUGUGCCCUCUGACAGAGCUCAGGGUAUUAGAGGCAGAUGAGAAGGAUGAUUAAAUAAGUGGAAGCCCAGAAGAAACGGUGGAUCUGUAAUUACACGGAGGGGUUUGGGAUGCAGCCGUGUGUGUCUGCAGCUUCUGCACUGAAAAUGGUGUGGGGACAGGGACAGGGGAGCUUUUCCAUGUGGGGCUCCAUGAAACCACCCUGCCCCUCUCUCUCCAGCUGCCCAGCCUGCCUGGCUUUGGCUGUUCUGGUCUCUGCCCCUUCCAGGAGCCAGCCUGGUCCUGGCUGUGCCCACCAGGACUUGUCCUGGCCGGGAGGAGAUGUGGGGGUGCCAUAAAAGCCCUGCCAUCCGAGGGGAGGAGGGAGCCUUUUUUGGGGAGAAAAAACCAGUUUUAUGCCUCCCUGCACCUCAAGAGCCUGAAGCAGAGCUGUGUGGUGCAGGGUUGGGGCCUAGGGUUGCCUCCAUCUCCUGCAGAUGAUGGAUACCUCAGUGGAAGCAGUGGGAGAGCUGCAGGUCCCAUCUCCUGCCAGGGAUGCAAUGUGGGAAUGCUGUGGGACUCUGUUGCAUCCUAAAGCAGUAACAUUCCCCAGCUUUGAGGGUCAGUGGGAAGCAAACUGACUCUGCUUCUUAUUUUUAAUUUUUUUUUAAAUUUACUGGAUCCCUGUAAGGUGCCAACACAUCCCAUCAAAGGGCUAAUUUCCAUCUCCUGGGAGGAGGGAGAAGGAGAGGGGUGGGGGGCACAAUUGCUUGGGUCAAGAGCAGUCUGUCAUCUGAGAGGUGGAAAUCUUUUUUUUUUUAAAUAAACUAGUCUUUGCCCCAUUAAAUGAAGAAAGAAAGCAGAGCAUAACAGAUAUGAGCAGGGCUUAGGAUCACUUAAGUUUCCUUAAAAAGUGGAUGUAAUGACAAACAAAGAACCAAUUUAAACCAGCUCGAAUUUAAAGUAUCUGUGGAGGUCACUGUGACCAAGGCUUUGAACAGGAAUAACACAUUUCUGGGAGCCUUAUCUGCUCCCUGAGCUAUCGUGAGUGGCAUCUAUUGCUGGGGAUGUUAUUGCUUUUCUGAAUUUAAUAGCAGAAGCAGUGCUUAAGCAAGCAGAAAGCUGCAGGGGAAGAGCUGCCUCUGUGGCCAUUGGGGGUUGGAGUUCACCCCGGGCCUGGUCCCCUGCAGGGUGGUUUGGAGGGAUGGGGCAUUUGGAAGAGUCAGGGAUUUAGGAGGAUGGAGGAUGGAGUCAGAUGCUGCCUGUCCCCCUGGAGCUGGAGCCUGCUUGAGCAUCCUCUAGAGCCGAGGGCAUAAAUACAGGGCUCAUAAAUACAGGGCUGCCCGUAACAAAGGAAGGAAAGGCUGCCACAUCACAUUUGAAGAUUUCCUUGCAUCCGUCAGGGAAUGAGUUGUCAGGGGCUUGUGGCCCAGAAAAUGUAGCUGACAGCUGGGAGGGUGGUAUGGGGCAAUCAUUUCAGAUGCUGCUUUGGCUUAAAUCCAGCAUGGGGUGGAGAGAAGGCAGUGGUGUGGGCACAGCUCCAAAAGCACGUGUUUGUACAUGGAAUGGUUUGGGUUGGAAGGGCCUUUAAAGACCACACAGUUCCACCCCCUGCCAUGGGCAGGGACACCUUCCUGUAUCCCAGGGUGUUCCAGGUCACAUUAGCCACAUCCCCAGUGCCAGGCAGAUGGGUCACAGGCUCCAUCUUUUCUCUGUGCCCACAGGACACCAAUCAUACCACCGGCUCCACUCUGCUUGUGCCAGAGGUGGAGUUUCCCCAGGAAUGGGUAUUUAUUAAAACUUCUGCCUCUGCUUAUAAAUCCACUUCCCUGUGUAUUCAGGGAUCAUAGGGGUGUUUAUGCUCCCUGCUUUCCCUGGACAGAUUUAUGGGUUCAUUGGAAUCCCUCCAUUGUGUGGCUGCCCUGCUCCAGGCACCAUGGGGCAGGCAGCAGUCCUGGGAGGUUUUCCCUUUCUCCCUGAGCACUGGCUGGUCCAUCCCUCAGCCAUUUGCAGGGACUUGUGUGAGGAAGGACCAUGGCAGUGUCACACUCCACCUGGGACAGUGGAAGGGGGUUGGAACGAUAUGGGAUUUAAGGUCUCUUCCAACCCAAGCCAUUCUGGGAUUCUGGGAUUCUCUGAUCCUGUGAUCCAGCCCUGAAGCACUGAAGGCUGCAGCCAGACACAAAGCUCAUCUGUGAGGAUGAAGAAGGGAGCUUGGAGCACCCAGUGUAGCAAAGAGAUGCAUCAGCACCUGCUCCCAGCUGCAGGAGAAGGAAGGAGUGCUGGGAGUUCCCUCCCCACAAGUGCAGAGAGCUCCUCCAAGGCAGCUGCACCUCUGGGAGAGAGGCAGGACCAGCUGGAGCAGAGGCAAGGCCAGAUGAGAUGAUGCCAUGAGGAUUAUUUCAUGUUGCUGUUGAACAGGAGCCCAGAGCAGCCCCUUCCUCCCUUGAGGGGCAGCAGCUCCAAACAGCUGCGAGGCCUGGACAGCUCAGGAAGGACGAGAUGUCCCCAGGAAAGGCCAAAGGAGAUAAAACCAGGGGGUGGUGGACACGCACAGAUUUGGCCAAGGAGGUCUCAUCCUCGUUGGAUCCUUCUCCUACUGCUCUGUGUUGGCUCCAUGUGUAAAGGGCUGGGAGAGGAUGAUAUCAGGCAGAGGUAAUUAUUAACUCUAAUUAUAACUGUGACAGUGACCCUGUUUGGGCUGGACUGUAAAGGCCCCCAAAACCAUCCACCUUUUUUCCUUCUCCCUGGAAUUCUGAUCUUUCUGUGGUCAGGAUGCACCUCCUCCAUGCCAUCUUUAGAGUCCCAGGUGCUGUUUGAAAUCCUCCAUGACCUCAUCCCUGCAUGCUCUGUCCAUGGGGGACACAGAGAGUGCUUGGCACAUGCACAGAAACCUCAGCCAGGGCAGGACAUUCCUGGUCCAUUUCGUUUCUGGCAGCAGUGGGAGAAAAGAGAGCCUCCAAAAUCUAUAACUCAACCGUCUCUCACACAGUGUGGGAUUAAGGAAAAGGUGCAGAAUAAAAAUUAUUUCCUCAGGGGGCAGCACGUAAUUUCAUUUGCCCAGGAAAAUGAUGUCUCCAUCAGUUGUCUUCAGAGACUCUAAAAAGAAUUCAAGGAGGGCUCAGAGUGUGCAAUUGUUGUGGAAUUUUGGAAUCCCACACUGGUUUGGGUGGGAAGGGACCUGAAAGCCCAUCCCAUUCCACCUGCUGCAUGGGCAGGGACACAUUCCACUAUCCCAGGUUGCUCCAAGCCCCCUCCAGCCUGGCCAGGGAGCCAGGGGCAUCAACGACUGAGUUGGCUUCUCUGGGGUCAGUGUGUGUGGAAGAAAGGUCCCAGCUCUGCACUGCCAUGAAGGGAUGCUUUAUUUAUCAGCAAAGCCAUGGGAUGUGAAUUUCUCUGGUGCCUUCACUGAGUUGUCACAGGGAAAUUGAGUCUCUUAAGCAGCUUUGGGCUGCAGCCAGUUCAUUACAGCAAACUUUCAUCAAUUAUCAUUACUGUUAUUAUUGUUAUUACGAUGCCUCCUGCUCUGUUGUAAAUUGGAGGGCUUUCCUGGAGAACUUGUUGGACUUUUUUGAGUUGUCUCAAAACAGGAUGGCAAAUUCCUGUGAGCUCUGAAACGAGGCCGACCUGGAGAUAUCCAACAGCAGGAUUUGGCCAAAUCUCCAGCACCAUGGAGAAACAAGGAUGACUAUCUCCCUGCACCCUGGAGACGACCCUCCCACCUGUGCCCUCCCUCACCCACUGCCAUCCCUGUUUUCUUCCAUGCCUGACUUCACUCCCCGCCCCCAUGAUUUUUCCUGUAAAACCCCAAAACUCUAAUUUGAAGAGUGGGACAGGGGAAGAUGCAGCCAUCCAGCAGAGCUACAAUUGAGCUCUAAUUGCUCGUUUAAACUAAUUAAUUUACCAAACCCGAGGAAUUUUGAAAGGGUGCUUAGGAGCCUUGCCCUCCCUUCUCCCAGGCAUGCAGGCAGGGCGUGGGGAGCCCCACAACCGCUUUUGGUGCAGCCUCCUCCGAGGUGCUGAUGGUAAUUCCCCGGUCUGGGAGCAUCCCUUUCCCCCCAGCUCGUGGAAAACCAGCGUGUUCAGCGCUGCAGGGCUUGGGCUCCAGGAGAGAGUAAACAUCCCUGGUGCUGACACGGCAAUAAAACCGGUGCGUCUGCAGGAGAGGAGUCAGCAGCAGAUGCGCCUCUGCAGAACUGCUCGCCGUGAUGAAUGCUCUGCCCAGAGUCUGCUAAUCCCUUUUUCUCUGGCUCCCAGGCCUCCUUAAUUGUGCUGCCUGUGAUUAAGUAACUCUUUGAAGGCAGCGCGGGGAGUUGUUUGGUCCACGAGCGAACGGCGCUGGCCGGGCUCGUAGCCUUUGGCUCUGGGCAUGCGGAGCGUGUCUCGCAAGGAUCAUGGGGACAGUGCUGCGCCUGUGCUCUGGUGACCCCAAAAAGGCCCUGGGGAGACACCCAGGAGGGCCAGUGGGCUUGGUGGAGAUCCGCCUGGAUGAUCCUAAGACAGACAAAUUCCCAGGGAAGUGCUGCUUUCCUGGUGGCGCUUCCUCCUCAAGCCCCCCAGGAAGCACAUGGAUGUGGGGAGCAGAGGAGUGCCGUGCUUGGGGUGAGGGGUUCAAUCUGACCAAAUCUCCCCGUGGGCUGAGGGCAGGUGGGUGCUGUUUUCUAGCCUCCAUGAGCUGCCCUCAAAUGCUUUCUGAAGGAUGCUGAAGCCUUGGUCUUCUUCAUCAGGGAUGCAAAACCAGCCCAAGAGGACUGAGAGUGCCCGAGGGACUUUGCCAAAAUGCAGAUUAGAAGGGAAUUUAGAAUCAUGGAAUUACAGACUGGUUUGGGAUGGGAGAGACCUUAAAGCCCAUCUCAUUCCACCCCUUGCCAUGGGCAGGGAUACCUUCCGCCAGACCAGGUUGCUCCAAGCCCUGUCCAACCAAGGGCAGGAUUCCUGCCCACCCUGGAGCUCAUUCCCAGGUUCCUGCUGGUGGAGGAGCAGGUCCUGUAGAUGGAGUGCAGUGAUUGCCUGAAUAUUCAUGGAUCGGCGGGCAAGCUGCAGCGGGCCCUUGUUACAAACUGCUACCCAAACUGCUUACAUCCAUCAAUAAGGGAAAUAAAUAAACAGAUGCUUGUUAAUUGACUUAAUUACCCACCAGCAAGCAGGAGACUGGGAGCACAUCAAUUAAAAAAAAUGUUUUAAGAAGUGUCUCAUAGUAAUUCUUUUCCAUGUGCAAACCGCACUGGUCUCCUCUGCCUAUAAUGAACACUCCCCAAGACAAGGAAUGGAUUUUCAUUAUGCAGGAAGGAGGGGUCACAUUCUGAAAAUGAGGGUUGUGGCUUGAAAUGAGCCCUAAAUUCAUGCCCUCUUCCCAAAACCAGGGCUUUAGCAGAAAGCCAUGCAAAUAACUGUCCUUGAGCAAGAGAAAUCCAGCAGCUAAAGUAAUCCUUGUUUUCCAGCUGGGAGCAGGCAUGAAGGAGAAGGCGGUAGGGCUGGGAAACUCUUAAAGAUUUUUUUUCCCUUUUCUUUUGUAAAGAUCUCCAAGAAGAAGGGAAAACUGAAACUGAAGGCUUGUUCCUCUCACUGCCAUGUGGAGGUGGGAUGACUCCAAUGUCACCUGACAGGGCUGAUGCUCAAUAUCCACAGCUAAGUGUUGAGCUAGCAGGAUGAGAUGGAUAAACAAGGAUUGCCUGAGAGCCAGAGGCCUGUGGCCAAAUCUAUUACUUUUUUGUCCCAGGGUGGAUGCAGAAGGUCCUGUGCCAACCCUGGAGCAAUCACAGAGGAGUUUGUGUUGGAAGGGACCUUAAAGCUCAUUCCAUUCCCCGCCCCUGCCAACGACAGGGUUCCACUUCCACUGGACCAGGGUUCUCCAAGGCCAGUGCUGCCACAGUGCACACACCUGGAGCCCCUCCAGCCCUGUACCUGCCCUUUUCCAGCUCUGCCAGGGCGGCUGUUUGGAAAAACCAGUGUGGGCUCCUUUGGGACUGCUGGCAGUCGUUCUGCAGGGCUGUUAUCUGCAGAUCUUGAUUAAUGAGAGUCCCCAGGGCAGGCAGGUUGUGAAAGAAGCCCCAUGAUCGUGGUCCUGGCUGCCUCCCUGACGUCAGUGUGACGCAGGGCACCCAGGGCAGCACGGGCCCUUGGGUGCAACCAAAAAGAAAAUAAAGAAUGAAGGGGUGGAGUGAGAGGCAAUAAGAGAUGAAAGGAGAUUGUCUUAUCAGCCAGAGCUGGCAGCUGGAGUGAAUUUCCUCUCCCCAGUGCAGACUCUGCAGUGUGGGUGAUGUUCUCCUGCAUCCAGCCCUUGCCGUGGGCUCUGGGGUGGCGGCAGGAGAAGGGGGCACUGGGCAGGUGCUGCACCAGAUGUGGGGCUCCCCUUGCUCAGAUCUGAUGGCAUGUGGAUUUUAAAUCCUGCAGGGAUGGUGUUAUGCCGUGGACCUUUUAUCACAGCCUCCUGAUGUCUCUGGUUGGGUUUUUAUCCUCAGUGCUCGCUUGCAGCCAUUGCUGAACGCAGGUGACACUGGGGAGAAGGCCUCUGAGCAACACUGCCAAGGUCUCCAAGCAGGAUGGGGGGCAGCUGGAUUUGGGAUCAUCCCCUGCAUUAGGCAACACAGACAGGGAUUUACAGGCAGGCUGGAUGCUCUUGGCAGGUUGGAGUUGGAGGCUACACUGCAGUUCUUGUGGUGUCCUUCCUUCUCCUGUGCCACAGCCCUUUGCAGCCACAGUGUCCGCAGAAAGAAGGGUGGGCUGGUGCUCCCCCACCUUCAGCAAAAAAUAGUUACAUCUUUUACAUCCCUCGGUGAUGUUGGGUUCCUUUUGCUGCCCAUUUACUUGUGCCUCUUUCCAGAACUUAAAAAAAAAAUCUUGAAAAAAUUAAAAACUCACCAGUUUUCAA